GAGAAACGGCUACCACAUCCAAGGAAGGCAGCAGGCGCGCAAAUUACCCAAUCCCGACACGGGGAGGUAGUGACAAUAAAUACUGAUACAGGGCUCUUUUGGGUCUUGUAAUUGGAAUGAGUACAAUUUAAAUCCCUUAACGAGGAACAAUUGGAGGGCAAGUCUGGUGCCAGCAGCCGCGGUAAUUCCAGCUCCAAUAGCGUAUAUUAAAGUUGUUGCAGUUAAAAAGCUCGUAGUUGAACCUUGGGCCUGGCUGGCCGGUCCGCCUCACCGCGUGUACUGGUCCGGCCGGGCCUUUCCUUCUGGAGAGCCCCAUGCCCUUCACUGGGUGUGCGGGGGAACCAGGACUUUUACUUUGAAAAAAUUAGAGUGUUCAAAGCAGGCCUUUGCUCGAAUACGUUAGCAUGGAAUAAUAGAAUAGGACGUGUGGUUCUAUUUUGUUGGUUUCUAGAACCGCCGUAAUGAUUAAUAGGGAUAGUCGGGGGCAUCAGUAUUCAAUUGUCAGAGGUGAAAUUCUUAGAUUUAUUGAAGACUAACUACUGCGAAAGCAUUUGCCAAGGAUGUUUUCAUUAAUCAGUGAACGAAAGUCAGGGGAUCGAAGACGAUCAGAUACCGUCGUAGUCUUGACCGUAAACUAUGCCGACUAGGGAUCGGGCGGUGUUUCUAUCUUGACCCGCUCGGCACCUUACGAGAAAUC
rnacentral:rRNA from 1 species